UACGUAGGGUGCAAGCGUUGUCCGGAAUUAUUGGGCGUAAAGAGCUCGUAGGCGGCUUGUCGCGUCGGCUGUGAAAACCUGCAGCUUAACUGUGGGCCUGCGGCCGAUACGGGCAGACUUGAGUUCGGUAGGGGAGACUGGAAUUCCUGGUGUAGCGGUGAAAUGCGCAGAUAUCAGGAGGAACACCGGUGGCGAAGGCGGGUCUCUGGGCCGAUACUGACGCUGAGGAGCGAAAGCGUGGGGAGCGAACAGG
rnacentral:rRNA from 1 species